ACGGGGCGCAGCAGGCGCGAACACUUUACAAUGCGGGAAACCGCGAUAAGGGAACCCCGAGUGCCAGCAUCAAAUGUUGGCUGUCCAGAUGAUUAAAAAUCAUUUGUUAGCAAGGGCCGGGCAAGACCGGUGCCAGCCGCCGCGGUAACACCGGCGGCCCGAGUGGUAGCCGUUUUUAUUGGGUCUAAAGGGUCCGUAGCCGGCCUGAUAAGUCCUUUGGGAAAUCUGGCAGCUUAACUGUCAGGCUUCUAAGGGAUACUGUCAGGCUUGGGACCGGAAGAGGUAAGGGGUACUCCAGGGGUAGGAGUGAAAUCUUGUAAUCCCUGGGGGACCAUCUGUGGCGAAGGCGCCUUACCAGAACGGGUCCGACGGUGAGGGACGAAAGCUAGGGGAGCAAACCGGAUUAGAUACCCGGGUAGUCCUAGCUGUAAACGAUGCCCGCUAGGUGUCAGACACGGUGCGACCGUGUUUGGUGCCGCAGGAAGCCGUUAAGCGAGCCACCUGGAAGUACGUCGCAAGGC
rnacentral:rRNA from 1 species